UACGUAGGGGGCAAGCGUUGUCCGGAAUCAUUGGGCGUAAAGAGCGUGUAGGCGGUUCGGUAAGUCGGCUGUGAAAGUCGGGGGCUCAACCCUCGGAUGCCGGUGGAUACUGUCGGACUAGAGUACGGAAGAGGCGAGUGGAACUCCCGGUGGAGCGGUGAAAUGCGCAGAUAUCAGGAAGAACACCCGUGGCUAAGGCGGUUCUCUAGUACGGUACUGACGCUGAGACGCGAAAGCGUGGGGAGCGAACAGG
rnacentral:rRNA from 1 species